AGAGUUUGAUCAUGGCUCAGGACGAACGCUGGCGGCGUGCUUAACACAUGCAAGUCGAACGAUGAACCACCUUCGGGUGGGGAUUAGUGGCGAACGGGUGAGUAACACGUGGGCAAUCUGCCCUGCACUCUGGGACAAGCCCUGGAAACGGGGUCUAAUACCGGAUACUGACCUGCCAAGGCAUCUUGGCGGGUCGAAAGCUCCGGCGGUGCAGGAUGAGCCCGCGGCCUAUCAGCUUGUUGGUGAGGUAAUGGCUCACCAAGGCGACGACGGGUAGCCGGCCUGAGAGGGCGACCGGCCACACUGGGACUGAGACACGGCCCAGACUCCUACGGGAGGCAGCAGUGAGGAAUAUUGCACAAUGGGCGAAAGCCUGAUGCAGCGACGCCGCGUGAGGGAUGACGGCCUUCGGGUUGUAAACCUCUUUCAGCAGGGAAGAAGCGAAAGUGACGGUACCUGCAGAAGAAGCGCCGGCUAACUACGUGCCAGCAGCCGCGGUAAUACGUAGGGCGCAAGCGUUGUCCGGAAUUAUUGGGCGUAAAGAGCUCGUAGGCGGCUUGUCGCGUCGGUUGUGAAAGCCCGGGGCUUAACCCCGGGUCUGCAGUCGAUACGGGCAGGCUAGAGUUCGGUAGGGGAGAUCGGAAUUCCUGGUGUAGCGGUGAAAUGCGCAGAUAUCAGGAGGAACACCGGUGGCGAAGGCGGAUCUCUGGGCCGAUACUGACGCUGAGGAGCGAAAGCGUGGGGAGCGAACAGGAUUAGAUACCCUGGUAGUCCACGCCGUAAACGGUGGGCACUAGGUGUGGGCAACAUUCCACGUUGUUCGUGCCGCAGCUAACACAUUAAGUGCCCCGCCUGGGGAGUACGGCCGCAAGGCUAAACUCAAAUGCAUUGACGGAAUCGUCGACCUGCAGGCAUGCAAGCUUGGCACUGGACCGUCGUUUUACAACGUCGUGACUGGGAAAAACCCUGGCGUAACCCAACUUA
rnacentral:rRNA from 1 species